CUGGGGCCCGGGGACACGGGCUCAGUCAAUGAUCAUGGGCUCGGUGUCCAACCAGCAGUUUGCAGGUGACUGAGCCAAGGCAGCAGAGAAGGCACCAGAAGAGUUGCCGGCUGACACGACCGGAGAGUGUCACCAACGUGCGCAUGGGGUUCGGCUUCCUGUCUAUGACCGCUUGCGCCGGGGUUGCGCUCGACCCCACGAUGGACGUCUUUGUGCACCAGAGCAGGCUACACACGGAAGGUUUCCGAAGCCUCAAGGAGGGUGAGGCAGUGGAGUUCACCUUUAAGAAGUCUGCCAAGGGUCUGGAGUCCAUCCACGUCACUGGCCCUGGUGGCAUGUUCUGUAUUGGGAGUGAGCGACGGCCAAAGGAGAAGAGCAUGCAGAAACGAAGAUCCAAAGGAGACAGGUGCUACAACUGUGGUGGGCUAGACCAUCAUGCCAAGGAGUGCAAGCUGCCACCCCAGCCCAAGAAGUGCCACUUUUGCCAAAGCAUCAGCCAUAUGGUGGCCCCAUGUCCACUGAAGGCCCAGCAGGGCCCCAGUUCUCAGGGAAAACCUGUCUAUUUCCGGGAGGAGGAAGAAGAGAUCCACAGACCUACCCUGCUCCCAGAAGCCCAGAAUUGAGGCCCAGGAGUAGGGGUUAAUCUUUGGCUAAUGGGGAGUUUCAGGGAGGAGGCACCAAUCCGCAGAGUGGAGAAAGUGGGAAUCAGGUGGGUUGCGUGGGUAGCUUGCACUAUCAUGUUUCAGGCCGGGGUUCCCAGUGUCACCCUGUCUUUCCUUGGAGGGAAGGAAAGGGUGAGGCAAAGGAACUCCUACAACCCUCCAUCUAAAAGCAAGUGAGAGCUUUUGUGGGGAACCACCCUAGAAUCUGCAUGCUUUAUCUGAGGCUCUAACCAGCUCUGCCGAGUGGCUGUUAUAGGGGAGAAGCCCUUCUUCUGCAGAAGGCUGUGUGACAUUUCCCUUGCUAGACAGGAUGUGAAACAAGUGUCAAACCAAGAUUAAUGAACCUCACCCUCCAGAAGGUUCUGUAGAAGAGACUCUCAGGUUAUUUUCACAGGGCGCUUCCUCAUAACCCAGUCCUGCCGUGCUGUGCUGGGAAGAGUCUCUAACAACGGGUUGUGAUGACAGGCAAAGAGGGUGGUUGCGGGGACAACUGCAGACCUGCUGCUCCCACCUCACUCCCAGCCCUUUCUGGGCCAAUGGGAUUUUAAUUUAUUUGCUCCCUUGGGUAACUGCACCUUGGAUCCCACUUUCUCCAGGAUGCCAACUGCACUAUGUGCGAAUGACGUAUCUUGUGCGUUUUUUUUUCUUAAUAUAAAUAUUGGGUUUGUAUUUUUGUAUAUUUUAAUCCUAAGGCUCUCAUUCCUGCACUGUGUUCUCAGGUACAUUAGCAAUCUCAGGGAUAAGUCCAUAGCAGCUCCAGGUCUGCACAGCAGGAAUACUUAACUUUGUUUUGAUCACAAUGGAGACCAACCAUUUGGAGUGCACAGCCUGUUGAACUACCUCCUUUUUGCCGAUAACAGCUGCCUUUUCUGCCUUUUCAUCCUUGAAAAAUGUCUCACAGGUUUUGAUUGAGCUGCCCUGAGACUUGCUGUCCAGGUAUGGGAAUAUGAGGCAAGGACUCAAAUCCUUAGCUUUUCACAAUCUUGGCUUCCAGAGAGACUCAUGACUGUGGGCCUCUGUGGCAAGUGUCCUGCCCCACUGUAGUGUGAUGUCUGAUAACUGGGGGGUGUUUCAUUUACGUGCUUUGAGAUCACCACAAACCUACCUCAUUGUGUUGAAACGGGACAAAUGCAAUAGAACACAUUGGGAGGUGUGUGUGUGUCUGAUCCUGGUUUCUUGUUUCCCCCAAGUGCUGCCCCCACCCCUAGUUAAUUGUAUUCGUCUGGCCUUUGUAGGACUUUACUGUCUGAGUUGGUGAUUGCUAGGUGGUCUAGUUGUGUAAAUGUAAAUGUGUUGGUCUUCAUGUUCUUUUGGGGUUUUGUUUACAAAACUUUUGUUGUAUUGAGAGAAAAAUAGGCAAAGCAUCUUUGAUAGAAAGUUCUGCACCAGACUACACCAUCUGAGACCUAAAUGUGGGGUCCCCUUCUCAAAGUGAGCCUCUGGGAACCAUGGCUUUCCCUCCUGUGCUCCUCCUGUCUGCCACUCUGGACCACAAUGACCUUACAACCAGCCCCUCUUCUCCCUCAUAAGAAAACUCAGGCUCAGUUACUUCUUUGAGCAUCUCUACAGUUUUUGAAAGACCUAUGUAAAAGUUCUGAAGAAGCCAUCAUGAACUUCAUUCUCUCUCCCCUUGUUCCCUAACUCAGUGAGGAGUUUUGGUUGGUGCUUUGGAGACUGGGCCUCAGGUUCCUGGCUAUCCUUCGGCCUCAGACUACUCUGUGCAGGGACUGCAAGUGAGCCAUUUCUCCCUGGAAAGACCAUUUCAUGGUGUGAUUUGCUUUUGGACGAAUCCAACCAUUGUAAUCUGUCACCCUUAGGUAGAGAGAAGCAGUUGUGGGGCCUUUCAUGUAGAAAGUGGAAUCUGAAGAUCAGGAAGGGACUAUGAAUGUACAUACGGUUGAGACACUCAGGAACUUAAUGCCGGUGCAAGAAACUUAUGUCAAAGUGGCCACAAGAUUGUUACUAGGAGAUGGACAAAUGUAUCUCCAUGUUUACUACUAGAAACCAAAGCUUUGUGAGAAAUCUUGAAUUUAUGGGGAGGGUGGGAAAGUGUGUACUUGCCUGUCUUUUCCCUGAUAUCUUUCCUGAACUGCAGGAGCUAAGCCCUCUGGGGCUUUGGUGACCCCAUCCCUGGGGUGUUUUAUUUCAUGGUUGAGUUUUGCCCUCCCCAGGUACUUAUAUUUCUAUUGUAUAAUCAUUUUGAAACACAUGCUGACUUUACCUUCCCUUCUCUUCCCUGGGAAAAAUAAAGACUUAUUGGUACUCCAAAA